AUUGAACGCUGGCGGCAGGCAUAACACAUGCAAGUCGAACGAGUGGCGGACGGGUGAGUAAUGUCUGGGAAACUGCCCGAUGGAGGGGGAUAAAUACUGGAAACGGUAGCUAAUACCGCAUACCAUCGGAUGUGCCCAGAUGGGAUUAGCUAGUAGGUGGGGUAAAGGCUCACCUAGGCGACGAUCCCUAGCUGGUCUGAGAGGAUGACCAGCCACACUGGAACGGAAAAACGGUCAAGACUACGACGGGAGGCAGCAGUGGGAAAUAUUGCACAAUGGGCACAAGCCUGAUGAAGCCAUGCCGCGUGUAUGAAGAAGGCCUUCGGGUUGUAAAGUACUUUCAGCGGGGAGGCGUUACCCGAAGAAGAAGCACCGGCUAACUCCGUGCCAGCAGCCGCGGUAAUAC
rnacentral:rRNA from 1 species